rnacentral:rRNA from 1 species
UUAAGCGACUAAGCGUACACGGUGGAUGCCCUGGCAGUCAGAGGCGAUGAAGGACGUGCUAAUCUGCGAAAAGCGUCGGUAAGGUGAUAUGAACCGUUAUAACCGGCGAUGUCCGAAUGGGGAAACCCAGUGCAAUUCGUUGCACUAUCGUUAACUGAAUACAUAGGUUAACGAGGCGAACCGGGGGAACUGAAACAUCUAAGUACCCCGAGGAAAAAAAAUCAACCGAGAUUCCCCCAGUAGCGGCGAGCGAACGGGGAGCAGCCCAGAGUCUGAAUCAGCUUGUGUGUUAGUGGAACGGUCUGGAAAGUCCGACGGUACAGGGUGAUAGUCCCGUACACCAAAAUGCACAGGCUGUGAACUCGAAGAGUAGGGCGGGACACGUGGUAUCCUGUCUGAAUAUGGGGGGACCAUCCUCCAAGGCUAAAUACUCCUGACUGACCGAUAGUGAACCAGUACCGUGAGGGAAAGGCGAAAAGAACCCCGGCGAGGGGAGUGAAAAAGAACCUGAAACCGUGUACGUACAAGCAGUGGGAGCACCUUCGGGUGUGACUGCGUACCUUUUGUAUAAUGGGUCAGCGACUUAUAUUCUGUAGCAAGGUUAACCGUAUAGGGGAGCCGCAGGGAAACCGAGUCUUAACUGGGCGUUAAGUUGCAGGGUAUAGACCCGAAACCCGGUGAUCUAGCCAUGGGCAGGUUGAAGGUUGGGUAACACUAACUGGAGGACCGAACCGACUAAUGUUGAAAAAUUAGCGGAUGACUUGUGGCUGGGGGUGAAAGGCCAAUCAAACCGGGAGAUAGCUGGUUCUCCCCGAAAGCUAUUUAGGUAGCGCCUCGUGAAUUCAUCUUCGGGGGUAGAGCACUGUUUCGGCUAGGGGGUCAUCCCGACUUACCAACCCGAUGCAAACUACGAAUACCGAAGAAUGUUAUCACGGGAGACACACGGCGGGUGCUAACGUCCGUCGUGAAGAGGGAAACAACCCAGACCGCCAGCUAAGGUCCCAAAGUCAUGGUUAAGUGGGAAACGAUGUGGGAAGGCACAGACAGCCAGGAUGUUGGCUUAGAAGCAGCCAUCAUUUAAAGAAAGCGUAAUAGCUCACUGGUCGAGUCGGCCUGCGCGGAAGAUGUAACGGGGCUAAACCAUGCACCGAAGCUGCGGCAGCGACACUAUGUGUUGUUGGGUAGGGGAGCGUUCUGUAAGCCUGCGAAGGUGUGCUGUGAGGCAUGCUGGAGGUAUCAGAAGUGCGAAUGCUGACAUAAGUAACGAUAAAGCGGGUGAAAAGCCCGCUCGCCGGAAGACCAAGGGUUCCUGUCCAACGUUAAUCGGGGCAGGGUGAGUCGACCCCUAAGGCGAGGCCGAAAGGCGUAGUCGAUGGGAAACAGGUUAAUAUUCCUGUACUUGGUGUUACUGCGAAGGGGGGACGGAGAAGGCUAUGUUAGCCGGGCGACGGUUGUCCCGGUUUAAGCAUGUAGGCUGGUUAUCCAGGCAAAUCCGGAUAAUCAAGGCUGAGGUGUGAUGACGAGGCACUACGGUGCUGAAGUAACAAAUGCCCUGCUUCCAGGAAAAGCCUCUAAGCAUCAGGUAACAUCAAAUCGUACCCCAAACCGACACAGGUGGUCAGGUAGAGAAUACCAAGGCGCUUGAGAGAACUCGGGUGAAGGAACUAGGCAAAAUGGUGCCGUAACUUCGGGAGAAGGCACGCUGGUGUGUAGGUGAAGUCCCUGCGGAUGGAGCUGAGACCAGUCGAAGAUACCAGCUGGCUGCAACUGUUUAUUAAAAACACAGCACUGUGCAAACACGAAAGUGGACGUAUACGGUGUGACGCCUGCCCGGUGCCGGAAGGUUAAUUGAUGGGGUUAUCCGUAAGGAGAAGCUCUUGAUCGAAGCCCCGGUAAACGGCGGCCGUAACUAUAACGGUCCUAAGGUAGCGAAAUUCCUUGUCGGGUAAGUUCCGACCUGCACGAAUGGCGUAAUGAUGGCCAGGCUGUCUCCACCCGAGACUCAGUGAAAUUGAACUCGCUGUGAAGAUGCAGUGUACCCGCGGCAAGACGGAAAGACCCCGUGAACCUUUACUAUAGCUUGACACUGAACAUUGAGCCUUGAUGUGUAGGAUAGGUGGGAGGCUUUGAAGCGUGGACGCCAGUCUGCGUGGAGCCAACCUUGAAAUACCACCCUUUAAUGUUUGAUGUUCUAACGUUGGCCCCUUACCGGGGUUGCGGACAGUGUCUGGUGGGUAGUUUGACUGGGGCGGUCUCCUCCCAAAGCGUAACGGAGGAGCACGAAGGUUAGCUAAUCCUGGUCGGACAUCAGGAGGUUAGUGCAAUGGCAUAAGCUAGCUUGACUGCGAGCGUGACGGCGCGAGCAGGUGCGAAAGCAGGUCAUAGUGAUCCGGUGGUUCUGAAUGGAAGGGCCAUCGCUCAACGGAUAAAAGGUACUCCGGGGAUAACAGGCUGAUACCGCCCAAGAGUUCAUAUCGACGGCGGUGUUUGGCACCUCGAUGUCGGCUCAUCACAUCCUGGGGCUGAAGUAGGUCCCAAGGGUAUGGCUGUUCGCCAUUUAAAGUGGUACGCGAGCUGGGUUUAGAACGUCGUGAGACAGUUCGGUCCCUAUCUGCCGUGGGCGCUGGAGAAUUGAGGGGGGCUGCUCCUAGUACGAGAGGACCGGAGUGGACGCAUCACUGGUGUUCGGGUUGUCAUGCCAAUGGCACUGCCCGGUAGCUAAAUGCGGAAGAGAUAAGUGCUGAAAGCAUCUAAGCACGAAACUUGCCCCGAGAUGAGUUCUCCCUGAGACUUUAAGUCUCCUGAAGGAACGUUGAAGACGACGACGUUGAUAGGCCGGGUGUGUAAGCGCAGCGAUGCGUUGAGCUAACCGGUACUAAUGAACCGUGAGGCUUAACCUU